rnacentral:rRNA from 1 species
ACUCCUACGGGAGGCAGCAGUGGGGAAUAUUGGACAAUGGGCGAAAGCCUGAUCCAGCCAUGCCGCGUGUGUGAAGAAGGUCUUCGGAUUGUAAAGCACUUUAAGUUGGGAGGAAGGGCAUUAACCUAAUACGUUGGUGUCUGACGUAC